UACGUAGGGGCCGAGCGUUGUCCGGAGUUACUGGGCGUAAAGCGCGCGCAGGCGGCUCGUUAAGUCUGUCGUGAAAUCCCCGGGCUCAACCUGGGAAUGGCGAUGGAUACUGGCGAGCUAGAGUGUGUCAGAGGAUGGUGGAAUUCCCGGUGUAGCGGUGAAAUGCGUAGAGAUCGGGAGGAACAUCAGUGGCGAAGGCGGCCAUCUGGGACAACACUGACGCUGAAGCACGAAAGCGUGGGGAGCAAACAGG
rnacentral:rRNA from 1 species